GGGGUGAGCUGCGACACAGCUGAGCUGGCGAGGGUCCGCAGGCUUGCUCGGGAGCUCGGGCCCGCUCCUCCCCACCGGGGCAGCCACUGCCAGAAGGGACCGGACCGGAGACCUUCCUCCUCAGGCUGGAGGAAUCCCCAGCCAGCCUGCGCAGCCAUCAAGCUGCAACAAGAGGGAUUCACGGUAGACUUCGCCCCAGGACCAAACCAUUUGCAACCGAAAGCUCCAUGCCGCUUCUUUCUCCACCAAAAGCCAGAUGGAUCCGUUCCAGCUCAGCAUUCCCGUCAGGAGACAAGCACAAGGUGCCACAUCCCUAAUGCCUGCCCCGAGGAGGGCAGCUGGAGGAGGGAAGGGGGGCAGGGGAGGGUGCAGAGGGCCUCUGGCAAAGUCUCUUGCCUACGGACGUG
rnacentral:lncRNA from 1 species